rnacentral:rRNA from 1 species
UCCCUAUGGGGUGCAGCAGUCGCGAAAACUUUGCAAUACACGAAAGUGUGACAGGGCUAUCCCGAGUGCCAUCCGCUGAGGAAGGCUUUUACCCAGUUUAGAACGCUGGGGGAAUAAGGAGAGGGCAAGACUGGUGUCAGCCGCCGCGGUAAUACCAGCUCUCCGAGUGGUGUGGAUGUUUAUUGGGCCUAAAGCAUCCGUAGCUGGCUGGGCAAGUCCCCUGUUAAAUCCACCGAUUUAAUCGUUGGAAUGCGGGGGAUACUGUUCGGCUAGGGGACGGGAGAGGCAGACGGUAUUUUCGGGGUAGGGGUGAAAUCCUAUAAUCCCGGGAGGACCACCAGUGGCGAAGGCUGUCUGCUAGAACGCGCCCGACGGUGAGGGAUGAAAGCUGGGGGAGCGAACCGGAUUAGAUACCCGGGUAGUCCCAGCUGUAAACGAUGCAGGCUAGGUGUUUGGGCGGCCACGUGCCGCUCUAGUGCCGCAGGGAAGCCGUUAAGCCUGCCGCCUGGGGAGUACGGCCGCAAGGCUGAAACUUAAAGGAAUUGGCGGGGGAGCACCACAAGGGGUGAAGCUUGCGGUUUAAUUGGAUUCAACGCCGGAA